rnacentral:rRNA from 1 species
GUAUGCCUACGGGGCGCAGCAGUGGGGAAUAUUGCACAAUGGAGGGAACUCUGAUGCAGCGACGCCGCGUGAGUGAAGAAGGAAUUCGUUAUGGAAAGCUCUAUCAGCAGGGAAGAAAGGGACGGUACCUGAAAAAGAAGCUCCGGCUAAAUACGAGCCAGCAGCCGCGGUAAUACGUAUGGAGCAAGCGUUAUCCGGAUUUACUGGGCGUAAAGGGAGAGUAGGUGGCAGAACAGGUGCGAAGUGAAAACCCAAAG